GGAACAGCAUGUGAGGGUGGUGUGGUAGUACGGAGGGUGCGAGGGGUGUCCGGAUGGAAUGGGCGGAAAGAGCGGGCAGGCGGUGGGAUCAGUCGACUGUGAAAGCCCCCGGCUCAACUGGGGAGGGUCAUUCGAUACUGUCCGACUCGAAGGCAGGGGAGGGAAGCGGAAUUCCCGGUGUAGUGGUGAAAUGCGUAGAUAUCGGGAGGAACACCAGUGGCGAAGGCGGCUUUCUGGCCUGUUCUUGACGCUGAGGCGCGAAAGCUAGGGGAGCGAACGGGAUUAGAUACCCUUGUAGUC
rnacentral:rRNA from 1 species